GAACUCCCUUCAGCAGCACAUAUACUAAAAUUGGAAUGAUACAGAGAAAAUUAGCAUGGCCCCUAUGCAAGGAUGACAUGAGAAUUCAUGAAGCAUUCCAUACUCAA
rnacentral:snRNA from 1 species